GUUUUGUUUUGUUUUCCUCAUGCAGAAAAAAGAAAAGAAAGAAGAAGAAAAAAAACUCACAAAAACA
rnacentral:sRNA from 1 species